CUUUUAAAGGAUAACAGCUAAUCCACU
rnacentral:tRNA from 1 species